CCAAGGAUGAGCUUGUCUACACCUUUGCUCUUACCUACACUCCUGAGGCAUUUUGCUGGCACUUCCGAUUACCGUGUACAGAUGGUGCAGUUAUUGGUAUUCAAUGCCAUUAUCAAAGGUUUCAUAAUGUCACCAGUAAUGCCUUGAAGCCAACUUGGGUCCCUUAUGCCUCAACGGGCGGCUGGUGAAGAAAUCUUGCUGUUCUCCCUGAAGCUCAUGAUGGAUGACUGGUCCUAUGAGAGGCCUUCAAACUCUUACUUCCUGGGUGACAUUAUUAAUAUUGAGGCGUCUGUGAUGGUAUACAACCGU